AUACGGGGGGUGCAAGCGUUGUUCGGAAUUAUUGGGCGUAAAGCGCGUGUAGGCGGCUGUAUAAGUCAGAUGUGAAAUCCCUGGGCUUAACCCAGGACGUGCAUUUGAAACUAUUCAGCUUGAGUAAGGGAGAGGAAAGUGGAAUUCCUGGUGUAGAGGUGAAAUUCGUAGAUAUCAGGAGGAACACCGGUGGCGAAGGCGACUUUCUGGCCCUAUACUGACGCUGAGACGCGAGAGCGUGGGUAGCAAACAGGAUUAGAUACCCUGGUAGUCCACGCCGUAAACGAUGUUCACUAGGUGUUGGGGGUAUUGACCCUCUCAGUGCCGCAGCUAACGCAUUAAGUGAACCGCCUGGGGAGUACGGUCGCAAGAUUAAA
rnacentral:rRNA from 1 species